rnacentral:rRNA from 1 species
UGGGGAAUAUUGCACAAUGGGCGCAAGCCUGAUGCAGCCAUGCCGCGUGUGUGAAGAAGGCCUUCGGGUUGUAAAGCACUUUCAGCGAGGAGGAAGGUGGAUGAGCUUAAUACGCUCAUCACUUGACGUUACUCGCAGAAGAAGCACCGGCUAACUCCGUGC